GUCUACAGCCGUACCACCCUGAACGUGCCCGAUCUCAUCUGAUCUCAGAAGUUAAUCAGGGUUGGUCCUGGUUAGUACUUGGAUGGGAGACAAUCAAAGAAUAUCCUCUAAACAUC
rnacentral:rRNA from 1 species